rnacentral:rRNA from 1 species
UACGGGGGGGGCAAGCGUUGUUCGGAAUCACUGGGCGUAAAGGGCGCGUAGGUGGCGGGACAAGCGUGCGGUGAAAGCCUGGGGCUCAACCCCGGGUCGGCCGUGCGAACUGUUUUGCUUGAGCACUGUAGAGGCAGGCGGAAUUCCGGGUGUAGCGGUGGAAUGCGUAGAGAUCCGGAAGAACACCGGUGGCGAAGGCGGCCUGCUGGGCAGUAGCUGACACUGAGGCGCGACAGCGUGGGGAGCAAACAGG